rnacentral:rRNA from 1 species
UGCGAGGAAGCGGGAAAAGCUCAAAUUUAAAAUCUGGCAGUGGUUCACUGCCCGAGUUGUAAUCUAGAGAAGUGUUGCUCACACUGGACCAUGUAUAAGUCUUCUGGAAUGAAGCGUCAUAGAGGGUGAGAAUCCCGUCUUUGACAUGGACUCCCCAGUGUAUUUGUAGCAUGCUCUCAAAGAGUCGAGUUGUUUGGGAAUGCAGCUCUAAAUGGGUGGUAACCUCCAUCUAAAGCUAAAUAUUGGCGAGAGACCGAUAGUGAACAAGUACCGUGAGGGAAAGAUGAAAAGAACUUUGGAAAGAGAGUUAAAAAGUACGUGAAAUUGUUGAAAGGGAAACGCUUGAAGUCAGUCACAUUGGCCAGGGAUCAACUUGCUUAAGUGUACUUCCUGGCUGAUGGGCCAACAUCAGCUUUGACUGUCAGAGAAGGGUAGGGGGAAUGUGGCACCCUUCUUGGGUGUGUUAUAGCCCUCUGUCAUAUAUGGCGGUUGGGGCUGAGGAAUGCAGCGCGCCACAAGGCCGGGCUUCGACCACGUUCGCGCUUAGGAUGUUGGCAUAAUGGCUUUAAUCGACCCGUCUUGAAACACGGACCAAGGAGUCUAACAUGCCUGCGAGUGUUUGGGUGGAAAACCCGAGUGCAUAAUGAAAGUGAAAGUUGAGAUCCCUGUCAUGGGGUGCAUCGACGCCCGGACCUGAGCUUUCUAGCAAUGGCUCUGCGGUAUAGCAUGUAUGUUGGGACCCGAAAGAUGGUGAACUAUGCCUGAAUAGGGCGAAGCCAGAGGAAACUCUGGUGGAGGCUCGUAGCGAUUCUGACGUGCAA